rnacentral:rRNA from 1 species
AUGAAUAUCCUUGCCUGGAACUGUCGAGGAUUGGGGUUGGACUCGACAGUUGGCGAACUUCGUGACCUGAUUAGGUCCCACAACCCAGCGGUGGUCUUUUUGAGUGAAACAAAGAAAAGUGCAACUGCUAUGGAGAAACUGAAAUGGAGCAUGGGGUUCAGGAGUGGUGUAGCAGUUGGUUCGGUGGGCAGAAGUGGAGGUCUCGCAAUGUGGUGGAGGGAGCAUGUGCAGGUAACGAUUAGGCCUUGGUGCCAAUACUUUUUGGAUGCAGAGAUGGCUAUAGAUGGCGAUGCCUUGGUAACGAUUAGGCCUUUAGAGAAUGUCUAA